rnacentral:rRNA from 1 species
AACGAACGCUCGCGGCAGGCUUAACACAUGCAAGUCGAACGCCCCGCAAGGGGAGUGGCAGAAGGGUGAGUAACGCGUGGGAACAUACCCUUUUCUACGGUAUAGCUCUGGGCAACUGGAAUUAAUACCGUAUACGCCCUACGGAGGAAAGAUUUAUCGGGGAAGGAUUCGCCCGCGUUGGAUUAGCUAGUUGGUGGGGUAAAGGCCUACCAAGGCGACGAUCCAGAGCUGGUCUGAGAGGAUGAUCAGCCACAUUGGGACUGAGACACGGCCCAAACUCCUACGGGAGGCAGCAGUGGGGAAUAUUGGACAAUGUGCGCGAGCCUGAUCCAGCCAUGCCGCGUGAGUGAUGAAGGCCUUAGGGUUGUAGAGCUCUUUCACCGAUGAAGAUAAUGACGGUAGUCGGAGAAGAAGCCCCGGCUGACUUCGUG